GUUGUGCAAGUUUUUUCACUGCCUGUAUGUUCUGGUUUUAGUGCUGACAAAGACCGGCCUCAGUCAUGGACACCUAGCCCCAUCUCUCGGAAGAGGGUCGGAUCAUUAACGCAACCGCCAAACUUUCAUCAGGCAAAAAAAAAGAGCAGGUGCCUGUGGAUCAUUAAGAUUAUGUUUUGGAUAAUACUCAUUGGAUGCUGUAAAACACUGAUGCACCUACCAGACGCAGACCUCUUCUUCCAUU
rnacentral:lncRNA from 1 species